AUUGAACGCUGGCGGCAGGCCUAACACAUGCAAGUCGAGCGAGCGGCGGACGGGUGAGUAAUGUAUGGGGAAUGCGCGAUAGAGGGGGACAACUACUGGAAACGGUAGCCAAUACCGCAUACUAUCGGAUAACCCAUACGGGAUUAGCUAGUAGGUGAGGUAAUGGGUCACCUAGGCGACGAGCCCUAGCGGUUCUGAGAGGAUGAAAAGCCACACUGGGACGGAGGCACGGCCCAGACUCCUACGGAGGCAGCAGAUGGAAAUAUUGCACAAUGGGCGAAAGACUGAUGCAGCCAUGCCGCGUGUAUGAAGAAGGCCCUAGGGUUGUAAAGUAAUUUCAGUCGGGAGGCGUUACCGACAGAAGAAGCACCGGCUAACUCCGUGCCAGCAGCCGCGGUAAUUC
rnacentral:rRNA from 1 species